rnacentral:rRNA from 1 species
AUUGAACGCUGGCGGCAGGCUUAACACGUGCAAGUCGAACGAGUGGCGGACGGGUGAGUAAUGCUUGGGAAUCUAGCGUAUGGAGGGGGAUAACUACGGGAAACUGUAGCUAAUACCGCGUACCAUAGGAUGAGCCCAAGUGGGAUUAGGGAGUUGGUGAGGUAAAGGCUCACCAAGCCGACGAUCUCGAGCUGGUCUGAGGGGAGGACCAGCCACACUGGGACUGAGACACGGCCCAGACUCCUACGGGAGGCAGCAGUGGGGAAUAUUGCGCAAUGGGGGCAACCCUGACGCAGCCAUGCCGCGUGUAUGAAGAAGGCCUUCGGGUUGUAAAGUACUUUCAGUCGGGAGGCGUUACCGACAGAAGAAGCACCGGCUAACUCCGUGCCAGCCGCCGCGGUAAUUC